CUUGAAACUUUGGUUCCCAUACAAUCACUGAAGUUAAGCAACAUCAAGCUUGGUCAGUACCUAGAUAGGUGACCAUCUGGGAAUACCAGGUGCUGUAAG